rnacentral:rRNA from 1 species
UACGGGGGGGGCAAGCGUUGUUCGGAAUUACUGGGCGUAAAGGGCUCGUAGGUGGCCAACUAAGUCGGACGUGAAAUCCCUCGGCUUAACCGGGGAACUGCAUCCGAUACUGGAUGGCUUGAGUUCGGGAGAGGGAUGCGGAAUUCCAGGUGUAGCGGUGAAAUGCGUAGAUAUCUGGAGGAACACCGGUGGCGAAGGCGGCAUCCUGGACCGACACUGACGCUGAGGAGCGAAAGCGUGGGGAGCAAACAGG